AGCUGACUGGAAGGCUUUUCUUGUGCUACUUUGGCUUUAAAACCUGGAGAGGUUGACUGGAAGUGUCUGAGUUGUGAAGAAUGCCAAAAUAACAGCAAGAAAACAAAGUUGGUGAAGUACAAGCGGUAAUAGCAUUGAGAACUCCCUCUGGUUGGAUUCCCAAACUGCUCUGCAGGUUGCUGGCUACAGCAGACUACCAAAACAAAUAUCUUACCAUGAUUAAGGUCAGAGCCAGAAGCCUACAGUAAUACAUACUUCAGUAUUUGACAGUGUUGGCAAAAAAUUGAAGCAGAAAUAUAAUUACUCUCUUCUCCUUUCAUAUCUCAAUUGAAAAACAGUGAAGAUCAUGUCUUGCACGUACAAGAGAGGAGCGUUAUCAACUGUAUUUAAGAAAACUGUAAAAGCAUGUACUAUUGUGAUAUAGCCAGAUUGUUACAAAAUAGUAAUUUCUGCCUUUUAAAAACUGAUCCUAUUGCAAAUCAGGAGGAGUGCUUGGAAUGGUAGGAGACUCAAAAGGAAUGGUUCAUCCAAAGAUUAUUAGAGUGUCUUAAGGGUUGGAUGACUUAAAUUGAGAAAAGGACAAAUCUGACAUCUGACAGAAGCUAGCCUUCAGAUAAACAAAAUGAUCUUUCCUUUCUGUGCUACCCCAAUUAAACAGGUAUACAGCGGUAGACAGCUUGUUUGGUAGUUACACAGUUGUGAGGGUGUGCACUCUGCACACAGUUUCAGUUCAUUAAUAACAGUCACCUCAUUUCUUGCAGUGACUCUUCUCCAAUACCUUUUUUUUUUUUGCAACGUAUGGAUUAAAAUAAGCCCUUCAUUUUGGCCUAUAAUCAUUGUCUUGUAAAAAUUCGCCCAUUCAAAGCAUCCAGGAAUGUUUUGUAAUAAGUUUUGUGCCAUAUGUCACGUUAGGAAGAUAAACUUCUCAUCUUGGAGCAAGUGUCUAAGCUCCUCAGAGUUGUUAAGGCUGGUUGCACAACAGCCCUGUCAGAUACAGGGACUUGGGGCAGAGUCUUGCCCACCAUUUCACAGCUGUAUAGUAUAGUACAACAGGG